rnacentral:rRNA from 1 species
AGAGUUUGAUCCUGGCUCAGAUUGAACGCUGGCGGCAGGCCUAACACAUGCAAGUCGAGCGGUAGAGAGAAGCUUGCUUCUCUUGAGAGCGGCGGACGGGUGAGUAAUGCCUAGGAAUCUGCCUGAUAGUGGGGAUAACGUUCGGAAACGGACGCUAAUACCGCAUACGUCCUACGGGAGAAAGCAGGGGACCUUCGGGCCUUGCGCUAUCAGAUGAGCCUAGGUCGGAUUAGCUAGUUGGUGAGGUAAUGGCUCACCAAGGCUACGAUCCGUAACUGGUCUGAGAGGAUGAUCAAUCACACUGGAACUGAGACACGGUCCAGACUCCUACGGGAGGCAGCAGUGGGGAAUAUUGGACAAUGGGCGAAAGCCUGAUCCAGCCAUGCCGCGUGUGUGAAGAAGGUCUUCGGAUUGUAAAGCACUUUAAGUUGGGAGGAAGGGCAGUAAAUUAAUACUUUGCUGUUUUGACGUUACCGACAGAAUAAGCACCGGCUAACUCUGUGCCAGCAGCCGCGGUAAUACAGAGGGUGCAAGCGUUAAUCGGAAUUACUGGGCGUAAAGCGCGCGUAGGUGGUUCGUUAAGUUGGAUGUGAAAUCCCCGGGCCCAACCUGGGAACUGCAUUCAAAACUGUCGAGCUAGAGUAUGGUAGAGGGUGGUGGAAUUUCCUGUGUAGCGGUGAAAUGCGUAGAUAUAGGAAGGAAC